rnacentral:misc_RNA from 1 species
GAUGAAGAACGCAGCGAAAUGCGAUAAGUAAUGUGAAUUGCAGAAUUCAGUGAAUCAUCGAAUCUUUGAACGCACAUUGCGCCCGCCAGCAUUCUGGCGGGCAUGCCUGUUCGAGCGUCAUUUCAACCCUCAAGCUCUGCUUGGUGUUGGGGCCCUACGGUUGACGUAGGCCCUUAAAGGUAGUGGCGGACCCUUUCGGAGCCUCCUUUGCGUAGUAACUAACGUCUCGCAUUGGGAUUCGGAGGGACUCUUGCCGUAAAACCCCCAAAUUUUCUAAUGGUUGACCUCGGAUCAGGUAGGAAUACCCGCUGAACUUAAGCAUAUCAAUAAGCGGAGGA